rnacentral:rRNA from 1 species
GAUGAACGCUGGCGGCGUGCCUAAUACAUGCAAGUCGAGCGAACAGACGAGGAGCUUGCUCCUCUGACGUUAGCGGCGGACGGGUGAGUAACACGUGGAUAACCUACCUAUAAGACGGGGAUAACUUCGGGAAACCGGAGCUAAUACCGGAUAAUAUAUUGAACCGCAUGGUUCAAUAGUGAAAGACGGUUUUGCUGUCACUUAUAGAUGGAUCCGCGCCGCAUUAGCUAGUUGGUAAGGUAACGGCUUACCAAGGCAACGAUGCGUAGCCGACCUGAGAGGAUGAUCAGCCACACUGGAACUGAGACACGGUCCAGACUCCUACGGGAGGCAGCAGUAGGGAAUCUUCCGCAAUGGGCGCAAGCCUGACGGAGCCAUGCCGCGUGAGUGAUGAAGGUCUUCGGAUCGUAAAACUCUGUUAUUAGGGAAGAACAAAUGUGUAAGUAACUCUGCACGUCUUGACGGUACCUAAUCAGAAAGCCCCGGCUAACUUCGUG